CCGGAUGCUUUUAGGCUGAAAACUGGACUUGUCCUGCCAGAACAGCUGGCCAUUUAUAUACAGGGAAAAAAAAAACAAAAAAAACCCACUGGUGCUUGGCAAUAAAUAGAAAUGAGCCAGCCCAACAUCCUGCAUUGCUAUCAGGGCAGGCUCAGGAGCAUGGUGUCCCAGUGUCUGAAGAGUAACCUGUCCCUCCUGGAGCUGUUGAUCCAUUCCUCCCCCCCCCCGGAAAACUGUACUUAGCACUGCUUCCGAUGCCCUGAUAAAGGCCAUUUCUGAAAUCACUCUGAAUACUUUGAAAAGGGGCAUUUCAUUAAUGUCUCACCAGAUACAUGUGCUGAAAAAGGGUCACAAAUUCAUUAAAAGCCUAGGUACUAAAAGUGUGUCCUUCAAAUAAAGAAGUUGCUGGAGAAGCAAGCCAGAGGUUUUAUUGGACCCCUUCUAAGUUUUGCUCUUCCACUCAUCAUGGGGCUUUUGGUUAAGCAGUGAUGGAACAUGCAGAAAAAAAUGUAUCUGGUGCAAACCAGCUUGUUAGGGAAAGUACGGAAGAAUGUCGAGGAGAUAGGCGAUGGAAGCUAGCCAGACCGUUCCGUGGGAAAAGGAGCAUCAACAAGACACGUGGACCCAUAGUCACAUAGUCGAGCCUGUGCCAGGGUGGCGCUGCACCUGGGCUUUGAUUCGAGAAUAACAAGGAGCUCAACAUGCUUACUGCGCAUGUGUAUGGUACAUAAAAACUUCAUCUAGUGCCCCCCCUCGGUGUUCCUCACCCUGGACCGACGCUCAGCGGUGCCAGGGAUCCCCCGCUCCAUUAUUGCCUCAACCAGGAAAACGCCGGGGAACCCGCGCUCAGACGCAGAGGUUGCAGGUAAAGAAACCUGGAUUCAUCACUCCCAAGUAAAGGCGGCUCCCAGCACUGCAACCUCCUCGAAGGACACUCCAGUUCCUUGAGCAUCUACUGAAGAAGAGAGAAUACCCGUGCAACAGCAGGAAAACCUGUUCAAGGAAAACUGUGUUUAUUUGUUACACUUUGUAAUUAUUUUGUGCUAUGUGUUUAAACGUGAUUUUUUUUUUUUUUAGGUCAUUUCUGUUUUUUAUAACUAUUACAGAUUUAACUCUGGGCUGAGAAAAUAAUCAUAUUGUAUAAUUUAUAAACAGGGUCUCUCAAGUGGGGAAUGAAUCAGAAUGUUGGUACUGCCUACACUACCCUCAAUCCCUGGACACUGAUUUUUGGUUGGCUAGCAGAGCCUGUUUCUGGUUUAGCCUGGUAUCAGUCGAAUUUGACAUGUUUACACCCCAGGGUGCUAGAUUUUCAGCAGCAACCCUUUAAGGCACAUUCAUAUGAUAAAGCUCCAUGGUGUGUCAACAUGCCUUGGGGAAACCUUACGAUUUAGGUAGGAGAAACAACUAACUGUAACUACACACUACAGUAUAAUUAUAUGCAAGCAAAGUUUCAAUUGGACUGUUCAAGGGCCAGCAAUAAUUCUGACUUAAAAACUGCAUGGACUUGUAAGAAUAACUCAGUAAUUUUAAAUAACACUGAGCUAGAGAAAUUGCCCGCUUGGAACCUUACUUGGAGCAUAAAUGGUACAAACUGUCAAAGAUACUAUAAUAUUUCUCCCUCAAAUGGCACAUAUAUCUUGGGGAGUAAUGGUCGACUUAGUCAUGAUAAUAGCAAUUGGACCGUGUGCAUUUGGAUCUAUAGUAGCUUGUGUAUAGGUGCAAACCCUUUUCAAAUAAUAUAUCUAGGCAAAUGGGAAUUAUCAAAAUGUAAAAAUACCACUGAGAUUGAUUUUACCUCCUGCCCUACAGGGCACAGAAAAAAGGCCAUCCUAGUAGGGAAACCUACUAUUUUAAAAUCUGGGUGGUUCUGGUUAUGUGGAACCAACGCCUACAAAAGUUUACCACCACGAUGGGCCGACACCUGUACCAUUGGACGCAUGGCCCCUUAUGCCUAUCAAGUAAAAAAAUUAACACUAGGCUUUUUGCACAAUUACUACCCAAUACACAGAAAAAGGGACACCUCUAACCCCAUAGUGAAAAGACCUAAAAAAUUCUAUCAAUUCAUGUGUUCACUGUUUCCAGGUCUAGGCAUGGCCGAGUUAGAAAAAGCUAUUGUCAAUAUCUCUGCCACCCUUGAAAUCAUUCAAAAUGCUACUAUAGAUGCCUCAAAAGAUCUACAAAUAGAAGUGAACUCUCUCAAUUAGCCGUCCAAAAUCAAUGGGCUUUAGAUUAGCUAUUGGCCACAUAGGGAGGAGUGUGUGUGCUGGUAAACACCACCUCACCACCUAUUGUUUCUAUGCAAACAAAUCAAAACAAAAUGAAUAUGAUGUAAAUGUCAUUCAACGACAUGUACGUACCUUCCAUCGGAUAGCCCAAAAGCAGCCUCUGCUUAAUAGCCUAGCAACAGAUUGGUCGUGGUUGUGGUCAUGGCUAACAGAUCUAGGAGUGUGGACUAAGCGUGUUUUAAUAAUUUUGAUGUUAAUUCUGGUGGUAGGAACUGUGCUUUUCUGUUGUGUUUCGUGCAUGGGUCUGUUAGGGAAAGUGCGGAAGAAUGUCGAGGAGAUAGGCGAUGGAAGCUAGCCAGACCGUUCCGUGGGAAAAGGAGCAUCAACAGGGCAUGUGGACCCAUAGUCACGUGGUUGAGCCUGUGCCAGGGUGGCGCUGCACCUGGGCUUUGAUUCGAGAAUAACAAUGAGCUCAACAUGCUUACUGCGCAUGUGCAUGGUACAUAAAAACUUCAUCUAGUGCCCCCCCGGGGUUCCUCACCCUGGACCGACGCUCAGCGGUGCCAGGGAUCCCCCGCUCCAUUAUUGCCUCGAUCGGGAAAACGCCAGGGAACCCCCAUUCAGACGCAGAGGUAACAAAUGCUCCGUAUCGACCAUCGCAUGCCUUGUGUUUGUGUAUCCGUCCCUGCUGGGAGUCCAGGCGGUGCCCCCGCCUCACCCUUACAAUGGGUCAAAUAUGUUCAACUUGCUUCUCAUAUGUAAGGGGACAUAAGUAUAGACCAGCCUAACAUUGAAAGCAGGUAUGCAUGAAAUAAAAGGAGGGAAUGUUAAGGAAAUUUCCACUAUACUCUAGUUUUGCAGAAAGAACAUGCAAGGCCACGCUCCCUGCAAGCAGAACAUCUUAUCUGACAUUGCCUUAGCCCUGGUUUUCGUACAAAGUUGAAGAACUGCAAAGAAGCCAGUGUAAUCCAGCCAGCAGUACAAAAGUUGUUCAAAGGUAACACCAGAAGAGGUGCAAAAUCAGCUAAUGAAUAAUUAUAAGAUGGACCAUUUAAGGCUGGUGCAGAACUAUCUCGUACUGUAACACAGCAGGGGGACUGGUAGAACUAAGAAUCGUGGAUAGUUCUGAUUUGUUAUGUAAAUAAAGUAUCGAAUAUAUAACAAUUUACCUUCACUUAUAAGAUGUAACAAAGAACUGUUCGGGGUCCUUCUUGUGCUCCCAGCCAAGGGGCACCUUAUUGCUAGCAAUAAAACUCAGCAACUAAGAAA